GUAGGGAAUAUUGGGCAAUGGAUGCAAGUCUGACCCAGCCAUCCCGCGUGCCGGAAGAAGGCCCUCGGGUUGUAAACUUCUUUUAAGAGGGACGAAGGAAGUGACGGUACCUCUUGAAUAAGCCACGGCUAACUACGUGCCAGCAGCCGCGGUAAUACGUAGGUGGCAAGCGUUAUCCGGAAUUAUUGGGCGUAAAGAGUGCGUAGGUGGUUUUGUAAGCGUAGGGUGAAAGGCAGUAGCUCAACUAUUGUUAGCCCUGCGAACUGUGAGACUUGAGUGCAGGAGAGGAAAGUGGAAUUCCUAGUGUAGCGGUGAAAUGCGUAGAUAUUAGGAGGAACACCAGUGGCGAAGGCGACUUUCUGGACUGUAACUGACACUGAGGCACGAAAGCGUGGGUAGCAAACAGGAUUAGAAACCCCGGUAGUCC
rnacentral:rRNA from 1 species